AAACUUAAAUGAAUUGACGGGGACCCGCACAAGCGGUGGAUGAUGUGGAUUAAUUCGAUGCAACGCGAAAAACCUUACCUACCCUUGACAUGCCUGGAACCCUGGAGAGAUCUGGGGGUGCCCGAAAGGGAGCCGGGACACAGGUGCUGCAUGGCUGUCGUCAGCUCGUGUCGUGAGAUGUUGGGUUAAGUCCCGCAACGAGCGCAACCCUUGUCACUAGUUGCUACGCGAGGGCACUCUAGUGAGACUGCCGGUGACAAACCGGAGGAAGGUGGGGAUGACGUCAAGUCCUCAUGGCCCUUAUGGGUAGGGCUUCACACGUCAUACAAUGGUCGGUACAGAGGGUUGCCAAGCCGCGAGGUGGAGCCAAUCCCAGAAAGCCGAUCGUAGUCCGGAUUGCAGUCUGCAACUCGACUGCAUGAAGUCGGAAUCGCUAGUAAUCGCGGAUCAGCAUGUCGCGGUGAAUACGUUCCCGGGUCUUGUACACACCGCCCGUCACACCAUGGAGUGGGUUCACCAGAAGUAGGUAGCCUAACCGCGAGGGGGGCGCUUACCACGGUGAGCUUCAUGACUGGGGUGAAGUCGUAACAAGGUAGCCGUAUCGGAAGGUGCGGCUGGAUCACCUCCUUUU
rnacentral:rRNA from 1 species